rnacentral:rRNA from 1 species
GAUGAACGCUGGCGGCGUGCUUAACACAUGCAAGUCGAACGAAGCAAUUUUGAAACUUCGGUUUCAAAAUUGACUUAGUGGCGGACGGGUGAGUAACGCGUAGGUAACCUGCCUUAUACAGGGGGAUAACAGCUGGAAACGGCUGCUAAUACCGCAUAACACAGAGGUAUCGCAUGAUACUUUUGCCAAAGAUUUAUCGGUAUAAGAUGGACCUGCGUCUGAUUAGCUAGUUGGUGAGGUAAUGGCUCACCAAGGCGACGAUCAGUAGCCGACUUGAGAAAGUGAUCGGCCACAUUGGGGCUGAGACACGGCCCAAACUCCUACGGGAGGCAGCAGUGGGGAAUAUUGCACAAUGGGGGAAACCCUGAUGCAGCGACGCCGCGUGAGUGAAGAAGUAUUUCGGUAUGUAAAGCUCUAUCAGCAGGGACGAAUAAAAUGACGGUACCUGACUAAGAAGCCCCGGCUAACUACGUGCCAGCAGCCGCCGUAACAC